UAAGCAUUUGUACUGUGAAACUGCGAAUGGCUCAUUAAAUCAGUUAUCGUUUAUUUGAUAGUACCUUACUACAUGGAUACCUGUGGUAAUUCUAGAGCUAAUACAUGCUAAAAACCUCGACUUCGGAAGGGGUGUAUUUAUUAGAUAAAAAACCAACGCCCUUCGGGGCUCCUUGGUGAAUCAUAAUAACUAAGCGAAUCGCAUGGCCUUGCGCCGGCGAUGGUUCAUUCAAAUUUCUGCCCUAUCAACUUUCGAUGGUAAGAUAGUGGCUUACCAUGGUGGCAACGGGUAACGGGGAAU
rnacentral:rRNA from 1 species